UGAAUUGGAGGUUGAAAGGUAAAGUUGACAUUGAAAUUGAGAGAAAAUUAAGCUUAAGUGCUGAAUUUUAGUAGAUUAAUGAAUUUUGAUGUUUUUGGUGUUUAGAGCCUUGGAGUAAUAUUGUUGCUGGUUGUGGGUGAUUUUGGCUGAGGCUCCCAGUGACUUCGCGACUUCUAGCCUGUCGGACUCGCGCUAGAGGUGGGUUGAUGAUUAAGCUACCGGAAUUUUCGGAUUUCCUCCUAAGUUUAGUUAUUGUCGUCAUGUAUGUUGAUCAUUAUUUAUCGUGUUAAUUAGCUCAAAGUAAUGGAUUUGCAUGCUUAUUGAAAUAUGAAUUUGGAGCUUAAAAUGUUAGUUAAAUAUACAUGUUGGAUUUUGAAUUGACUUAGGAGAAAACUAGCAAUUCUACACUGUCAUAUGUUAAACUACCAGAUUUAGCUCUAGGAGCCGUAGUUUGUUUGUAUCGCCGCAGUUGUGGGCGGUGGAUAUCCAUAUUAGUAUAGAAUGCAUUUACGCUCGUGCUGGAAUGCCGAAUUCGAGUAAUCUUCAACUGUAGGUUCUACACUGUCGUUUCUAAAAACUAUCAGAUAGCUCCUUAAGCUGUUGCGCUUUGUAUUCACGCUGUUAGUACGCAUUUGAUACUCAUAUAGCUUUUGAAGCUGUUGCGUUUCGUAUCCAUGGUGUUAGUGCGCAUUUGAUACUCAAAUGCUUCUGAAGCUGUUGCGAUUUGUAUCUACGCUGUUAGUGCGCAUUUGAUAUGCGGAUAGCUUAGGAGCUGUAGUUUAUUUGUAUCGCCGCAGUUUGUUGAUAGUGGAUACCCAGGAUAGUGUAGAAUGUAUUUACGCUCGUGCUGGAAUGCUGAGCUUAUUUUUACAGCAGUGUUUAGGCUGUUCCGGACUGUCGGGUGCCGUUGAGGUUGACGGUGGACCCGGAUUGUUGUUUUUGCUUCAGAUGGUGCCGAGGGCAAGUGAGUUUUGUUGUUAGACCCGGUUUACUUUGACUUUAGCCUGUGAGAGUCUGAUUGAGCUCGACGGAGAUACGCUUGUAUACUCGGUUGGGUAGCGCCCACGAGUGCUACUCCGGAGUCUGGCUUUGUGCAUUUGCAUUGGUGUUGUUGUGUCCUGGUUGGACUUGCUCUCCACGGAUGGCCUAGCAUGGAGGCAGUUAUGUAGCUUCGACAGGCGGGAUGGGUGUAUUCACAGUCCCUAGUGAGAUUGGGUCAGAGAUUGCAUUGUUUUAUAAAUAGUUAGUGUUGGAUCAUGAUAGUAUAGUGGUAUAUAGCUGUAGAUUGUUUUAAGUUCUUUUACUAUC
rnacentral:lncRNA from 1 species